rnacentral:rRNA from 1 species
CCUACGGGCGGCUGCAGUGGGGAAUAUUGGACAAUGGGCGAAAGCCUGAUCCAGCCAUGCCGCGUGUGUGAAGAAGGCCUUCGGGUUGUAAAGCACUUUCAGUGGGGAAGAAAGCCUUGGGGCUAAUACCCUCGAGGAAGGACAUCACCCACAGAAGGAGCACCGGCUAACUCCGUGCCAGCAGCCGCGGUAAUACGGAGGGUGCGAGCGUUAAUCGGAAUUACUGGGCGUAAAGCGCGCGUAGGCGGUCUGAUAAGCCGGUUGUGAAAGCCCCGGGCUCAACCUGGGAACGGCAUCCGGAACUGUCAGGCUAGAGUGCAGGAGAGGAAGGUAGAAUUCCCGGUGUAGCGGUGAAAUGCGUAGAGAUCGGGAGGAAUACCAGUGGCGAAGGCGGCCUUCUGGACUGACACUGACGCUGAGGUGCGAAAGCGUGGGUAGCAAACAGGAUUAGAUACCCCUGUAGUC